UACGUAGGGUGCGGGCGUUAAUCGGAAUUACUGGGCGUAAAGCGUGCGCAGGCGGUUUUGUAAGCCAGAUGUGAAAUCCCCGGGCUUAACCUGGGAAUGGCAUUUGGGACUGCAAGGCUUGAGUUUGGCAGAGGAGACUGGAAUUCCUGGUGUAGCAGUGAAAUGCGUAGAUAUCAGGAGGAACACCGGUGGCGAAGGCGGAUCUCUGGGCCUUACCUGACGCUGAGGCGCGAAAGCGUGGGGAGCAAACAGG
rnacentral:rRNA from 1 species